rnacentral:rRNA from 1 species
UACGGAGGGAGCUAGCGUUAUUCGGAAUUACUGGGCGUAAAGCGCACGUAGGCGGCUUUGUAAGUUAGAGGUGAAAGCCUGGAGCUCAACUCCAGAAUUGCCUUUAAGACUGCAUCGCUUGAAUCCAGGAGAGGUGAGUGGAAUUCCGAGUGUAGAGGUGAAAUUCGUAGAUAUUCGGAAGAACACCAGUGGCGAAGGCGGCUCACUGGACUGGUAUUGACGCUGAGGUGCGAAAAGCGUGGGGGAGCAA